rnacentral:rRNA from 1 species
UACAGAGGGUGCAAGCGUUGUUCGGAAUUAUUGGGCGUAAAGGGCGCGUAGGCGGCCCUGUGUGUCGGGUGUGAAAUCCCACCUCUUAAAGGUGGAAUUGCAUUCGAAACUACAGGGCUGGAGUGUCGGAGAGGAUGGCGGAAUUCCUGGUGUAGAGGUGAAAUUCGUAGAUAUCAGGAGGAACACCGGUGGCGAAGGCGGCCAAUCUGGACGACAACUGACGCUGAGGCGGCGAAAAGCGUGGGGAUCAAACAGGG